rnacentral:rRNA from 1 species
AUACGGAAGGCAGCAGCUAAGAAUCUUGCGCAAUGGGCGAAAGCCUGACGCAGCAAUUCCGCGUGGGGGACGAAGGCCCUCGGGUCGUAAACCCCUUUUGCGAGGGAAGAAGUUCUGACGGUACCUCGCGAAUAAGACACGGCUAACUACGUGCCAGCAGCCGCGGUAAUACGUAGGUGUCAAGCGUUGUCCGGAUUUAUUGGGCGUAAAGCGCCCGCAGGCGGCUUGGUAAGUUCCAGGUGAAAUCUCCCGGCUUAACUGGGAGAGGUCCUGGAAAACUAUCAGGCUUGAGGCAGAGAGAGGGAUGUGGAAUUCCCGGUGUAGUGGUGAAAUGCGUAGAUAUCGGGAGGAACACCAGUGGCGAAGGCGGCAUCCUGGCUCUGUCCUGACGCUCAGGGGCGAAAGCGUGGGGAGCAAACCGGAUUAGAUACCCCGGUAGC